AGCCACUGCUAUCGGAGUACGACUUAGCCAUGCGAGUCACAGGGGCUUUACGCCACUGGCAGACGGCUCAGUAACACGUAGCUAACCUACCCUUUGGACGGGCAUAACCUCGGGAAACUGAGGCUAAUUCCCGAUAGGCACCCCCUUCUGGAAUGUGGGGAUGUCCAAAGCUCCGGCGCCAAGGGAUGGGGCUGCGGCCGAUUAGGUUGUUGGCGGGGUAACAGCCCACCAAGCCGACGAUCGGUACGGGCAGUGAGAGCUGUAGCCCGGAGAUGGGGACUGAGACAAGGCCCCAGGCCCUACGGGGCGCAGCAGGCGCGAAACCUUCACAAUGCACGAAAGUGUGAUGAGGGUACUCCGAGUGCGCAUACAUUGUAUGUGCUUUUCUGCAGCGUAAAUAGUUGCAGGAAUAAGGGCUGGGCAAGACCGGUGCCAGCCGCCGCGGUAACACCGGCAGCCCUAGUGGUGGCCGCUUUUAUUGGGCCUAAAGCGUCCGUAGCCGGAUAGGCAAGUCUUUGGGUAAAUCCUACGUCUUAAGCGUGGGAAUUCUAAAGAUACUGCCUGUCUUGAGGCCGGGAGAGGCUAGAGGUACUCCUGGGGUAGGGGUAAAAUCCUAUAAUCCUGGGGGGACCACCGAUGGCGAAGGCAUCUAGCUGGAACGGGCCUGACGGUGAGGGACGAAACCCAGGGGAGCGAGCCGGAUUAGAUACCCGGGUAGUCCUGGGCGUAAAUGAUGUGGGCUUGGUGUGAGCGCAUCGACGAGGUGCGUUUGUGCCGUAGGGAAGCCGUUAAGCCCACCGCCUGGGGAGUACGGUCGCAAGGCUGAAACUUAAAGGAAUUGGCGGGGGAGCACUACAAGGGGUGGAGGCUGCGGUUU
rnacentral:rRNA from 1 species